rnacentral:lncRNA from 1 species
GCUGAAACAGUAGAAGUGUAAGUGAAGAUAAGAACAGAUUGAUGUUUGACAAACUCCUGAAGUGUUUUUGUAUAUCUCUUUUCGAAGACCUAAGAUUUUGACUGGAAUUGCCAGGAUACUUCCUUACAUAUUUAAGUCUAGACAAGAAGCAUUAAGGACAGGGAUUCCAUCCAUCCUGAAGCAAGUGAACCCAACAGUAAAGUUGUAAGAACCAUCCAGCUUGAAACAUCUCUGACCACUUAAUGAUACCAGAUGCUCUGCUGAAAAACUUUAAAAUCUCUUGAGAUGUUUUUGAUUUCUGCUCUGGAUAUUUCUUGGAAUAGAAAUCUUGGACUACAAUUUAUAUUCUGUAUCUAUCUCUACUGGCGCAAUUACUCUAACUCAUGACUCCAAGCUUGGAUAAUAGGGAAUCCUUGGCAGGAUAACUUCUGUGGCUAGCUUUUAAAAGCUUUUUUCCCAUCUCUGAUCCAUGAGUCCCUUAAUUGUUAUCUUGAAGACAUAAUACAAUAUUUUUCACCUUUCCUUUUGACAUAAUCAAGUAUUGGGAUUUAUUUGUAUAAGUUAUUUGUAUUCCUGAGACAUGCAUAGUAAUUUUGAUCACUAAUAUGUACACAUUAUGUAAUUUACCAAAAAAUAAUGACAUGAAAAUAACUUUUUCUCCUCUUAAGAUGCUUAUUAUGACUCAAAAGGUCCCAUGAGGCUUUAUAUUCUGUUAAUCUUAUUAUGAAGAAAAUUCCAUAAAGAUUUUAAGUCUGAAAACAUUAUUUUGGGUCUUGAUAUUUCCUCAGCCUGCUAGUGCAUUUGCCAUUUCCUUCAAAAAAAGCCCUUCUUGAGGGAGUCAAACUUGUUUAAUUUCUAUCAAAAGGUAAAAUUUUAUUUUGUAGAUUUAUCCUGCUGAUUUCUUUCAGUAGAUUCUUAUUAAUGACAAACGAUUUUGCUAAUAUUUUCUACAUUUAACUAUAUGCUAUUUACUUGGAAUCCAAAUUACCAAUAUACUGCAAAAUUUCUUACAUGGUUUCAAUAGUUGCAUAAACAUUUAAAAGAAAGGAGUCACAUACAAUUUAUCUUUUUUUCAUUAUGGAACAGGGAUGCAACCAUGCUGCUCUAAAUUGGUUUAUAUUAUCAGCAUAUUACAUAGGCUGCACAUAAAAAUAACUCAAUUUGUACAUGAAAAUUCAUAACAUGAAUAAAAAAGACACUGGGAAGUAAACUCUAAUAUUUAAGCUUUUUUGGUGUUUUAAUCUUUGUUUGUGUUUUGUUUGGUUGGAUGGUUGACAUUUGUUCUUAAUUUCUCCAGAUUGUUAGUUUUCUUCAUAUCAAAAGAUAAUUAUACUAUCCAACUCAUCUGGCUGAUAUAGCAUUUUCUAAUCUGUAAUGAAGUAGGUAAAUUCUUAAACAGAGGCAGAGCGAUUGUCUGAGAAUUCUGUCACUUUCUGCUCUUAGAAUACUUUGUCUUCCUUACAACUUUGUGUGACUUCUGUAGGUAGGUUAAUAAAUGUAUUGGUUUUCCUCAACUAUUAAAGUAGGCAGAAUAUUAGGGAUUUCUGAACACUACAUAAAAAUAUUAAAAUACGAUUACAUUCCUAAAAAUAGCAUAUAAAAUGUUGAUUCUUUUAGAAACUUUCUUAAAAUUGAAACUGGACAAUGUAAGUCUUCCAUUGUAUUGACAAAAAACAACAUUUGUGAAAUAUUUAAUUUUAUAUAAUUGUGCAUCUUUU